AACGAACGCUGGCGGCAUGCCUAACACAUGCAAGUCGAACGAAGCCUUCGGGCUUAGUGGCGCACGGGUGCGUAACGCGUGGGAAUCUGCCCUUGGGUUCGGAAUAACAGUUAGAAAUGACUGCUAAUACCGAAUGAUGUCUUCGGACCAAAGAUUUAUCGCCCAAGGAUGAGCCCGCGUCGGAUUAGCUAGUUGGUGAGGUAAAGGCUCACCCAAAGGGCGACGAUCCGUAGCUGGUCUGAGAGGAUGAUCAGCCACACUGGGACUGAGACACGGCCCAGACUCCUAC
rnacentral:rRNA from 1 species